ACGUUGUACUAUAGCUGGUGGA
rnacentral:siRNA from 1 species